UACAGAGGUCUCAAGCGUUGUUCGGAAUCACUGGGCGUAAAGGGUGCGUAGGCCGCACGGUAAGUCAGAUGUGAAAUCUCAGGGCUCAACUCUGAAAUUGCAUCCGAUACUGCCGUGCUUGGAGGACUGGAGAGGAGUCUGGAAUUCAUGGUGGAGCAGUGAAAUGCGUAGAUAUCAUGAGGAACGCUAGUGGCGUAGGCGAGACGUCUGGAC
rnacentral:rRNA from 1 species